rnacentral:rRNA from 1 species
CAGCCGCCGCGGGAAUACGUAGGUGGCAAGCGUUGUCCGGAAUUAUUGGGCGUAAAGGGCUCGCAGGCGGUUUCUUAAGUCUGAUGUGAAAGCCCCCGGCUCAACCGGGGAGGAUCAUUGGAAACUGGGAAACUUGAGUGCAGAAGAGGAGAGUGGAAUUCCACGUGUAGCGGUGAAAUGCGUAGAGAUGUGGAGGAACACCAGUGGCGAAGGCGACUCUCUGGUCUGUAACUGACGCUGAGGAGCGAAAGCGUGGGGAGCGAACAGGAUUAGAGACCCCAGUAGUCCCUGUCUCUUAUAA